rnacentral:rRNA from 1 species
CCAGACUCCUACGGGAGGCAGCAGUGGGGAAUAUUGCACAAUGGGGGAAACCCUGAUGCAGCAACGCCGCGUGAGUGAGGAAGUAUUUCGGUAUGUAAAGCUCUAUCAGCAGGGAAUAGAAAAGAAGGUACCUGAAAAAGAAGCCCCGGCUAACUCCGUGCCAGCAGCCGCGGUAAUACGGAGGAUGCGAGCGUUAUCCGGAUUUAUUGGGUUUAAAGGGUGCGCAGGCGGAUUUUUAAGUCAGCGGUCAAAUCGUGGGGCUCACCCCCGUCCAGCCGUUGAAACUGGUGAUCUAGAGUGUGCGAGAGGUAUGCGGAAUGCGUGGUGUAGCGGUGAAAUGCAUAGAUAUCACGCAGAACCCCGCUUGCGAAGGCAGCAUACCGGUGCACCACUGACGCUCAGGCACGAAAGCGUGGGGAUCGAACAGGAUUAGAUACCCUAGUAGUC